rnacentral:rRNA from 1 species
AUUGAACGCUGGCGGCAUGCCUUACACAUGCCAGUCGAACGGUAACGGGCCUUCGGGUGCCGACGAGUGGCGAACGGGUGAGUAAUACAUCGGAACGUGCCCGAUCGUGGGGGAUAACGAGGCGAAAGCUUUGCUAAUACCGCAUACGAUCUACGGAUGAAAGCAGGGGACCGCAAGGCCUUGCGCGGACGGAGCGGCCGAUGGCAGAUUAGGUAGUUGGUGGGAUAAAAGCUUACCAAGCCGACGAUCUGUAGCUGGUCUGAGAGGAUGAUCAGCCACACUGGGACUGAGACACUGCCCAGACUCCUACGGGAGGCAGCAGUGGGGAAUUUUGGACAAUGGGCGCAAGCCUGAUCCAGCCAUGCCGCGUGCAGGAUGAAGGCCUUCGGGUUGUAAACUGCUUUUGUACGGAACGAAAAGCCUUCUUUUAAUACAGGAGGGUCAUGACGGUACCGUAAGAAUAAGCACCGGCUAACUACGUG